AAUGGAGGUGGGGACUGCAACACUUUCCAGAAAGCUGAGGGACCAGGGUCUAUGCUCCCAAUAGACUGAUGUGGGAGCUACUGCAGAGAGGAAUUGUUCCAGGAACCAAACAGACAAAAAGCACAUUGUGUGCAAUCUUUAAUUGCUGAGGCUUUGAGAAGGCUUAAAAUAAAACAGCCAACCCUGCUCGAAACUGCUUCCCUGAAUUCCCUGAGAGAGCGCAGACAGAAUUAACCAAGGGAGUGAGCUGACACAGCCAGAGCAAAGCCUGGCCUGGGAGGAGGAUUGUGAUAUAAGGCUGGCUACCAUUUGGGGAACAUAAACGUGAUCAAGGUACUGGAAAAAAGAAAUGGUUUUCCAGGCCUGUGGAGGACACCCAGCCACCUGUGCCAGAGAAGUUUCUGGUAAUGGUCACCCCUCUACAUAUUGCUAAGUGGAGUUAUCUGGUGGCCUAUGAAGGUGAAUCAAAUACUUUUACCCUGCUGUUAAACCCGAAGAACCAGAUUCAAUUUCUGCUGCACCAAAAUUUUGUUGAAUUAUGCUUACAGAACAGAGAGGCAAGUUGAGAGGAAAUUGACUGUUUUAAGUUAUCAGAUGGAGUUCCCAUAGAAGAGGAACAGAGAACCACAGUAAACAUCCACCAACCCACUAACUCCCACUGCACAGGCACCAAGUCCAGCCCCUGUAUCCAGUGAGCAACAUUAAAAGGGACAGGGAAACAGCAUCACACCACAACUUCCCUGAACUUUUGGAUUAACACUCCAAGCCAUUUAUCCUUCCACCUUCCACUGCUAUGAGACACAGCACUGUGUUUGUGGAACUGCUGGAGUGGAUGCUUCACCCACCCCCACUUUUCCUGGUUUCUGAAGAGUAGCUCAGCAUGGGCA